rnacentral:rRNA from 1 species
UACGGGGGGGGCAAGCGUUGUUCGGAAUUACUGGGCGUAAAGGGCGCGUAGGCGGCCUGGCAAGUGACGGGUGAAAGCCCUCGGCUCAACCGAGGAACUGCCUGUCAUACUGCCGGGCUUGAGUCCGGGAGAGGUGAGUGGAAUUCCCAGUGUAGCGGUGAAAUGCGUAGAUAUUGGGAGGAACACCAGUGGCGAAGGCGGCUCACUGGACCGGAACUGACGCUGAGGCGCGAAAGCGUGGGGAGCAAACAGG